GGCCGGGGCCUGCGCAAUGGGAACCCGUGAACCCCGUCAGGUCCGGGAGGAAGCAGCGGUAAGCGGUUCUUCUCAUGUGCCGCAGGGGUUCCUGGCCGGA
rnacentral:SRP_RNA from 1 species